AUGCAGUCUUUGGCGCGGACAGUCUGUCGAGCCGGAACCCGUGCCACGCCUCUGAAGCUCCUGGAUUGCGCAGCUCCUAGAGUUGAACAGUCGUUCGCGGAACCCCUGAGGCCUUGCAACUGGAUUCGUCAAAUUGUGAGUCCAAUCAUUCCACACGACGGUGUUCAGGCAUAUGGUUUCUGCACGAGGGCUUUGGCGGUGAGGGGGUUCUCGACAGUGGGAGCUGCCGAGGUUUCUGUUGAGGAUGAAGAUUCCAGCUCUCCCAUGGUUGAGCACCCGCCGCGGAUUAAGUUCAAGAGGCCCGACAAGACGGCCAGGCACAUUAUGAAUAUCUUAAACAAAGAGGCAGUCGACAAAGUUCGUACAGAGAGGACCAUUCCUGAUGUACAGCCUGGAUGUAUUGUUCAAAUGAGAGUGCAAGUUCCUGAGAACAAGCGACGUGAGUCUACAUUGAAAGGCAUCGUCAUAGCAAGGCGCAAUGCUGGGAUCGCUACGACUUUCAGAUUGCGUAGAUUAGUAGCUGGGGUUGGAGUUGAGUCUGUCUUUCCACUGUACUCGCCAAACAUCAAAGAAAUCAAGAUCUUAGACAGGAAGAAAGUCAGGAGAGCAAAGCUGUAUUACCUGAGGGACAGAAUGAAUGCACUCAAGAAAUGA
rnacentral:rRNA from 1 species